UACGAAGGGGGCUAGCGUUGCUCGGAAUCACUGGGCGUAAAGGGUGCGUAGGCGGGUCUUUAAGUCAGGGGUGAAAUCCUGGAGCUCAACUCCAGAACUGCCUUUGAUACUGAAGAUCUUGAGUUCGGGAGAGGUGAGUGGAACUGCGAGUGUAGAGGUGAAAUUCGUAGAUAUUCGGAAGAACACCGAGUGGCGAAGGCGACUUACUGGACACAUAUUGACGCUGAGGUGCGAAAGCGUGGGGAGCAAACAGG
rnacentral:rRNA from 1 species